rnacentral:rRNA from 1 species
GAUGAACGCUAGCUACAGGCUUAACACAUGCAAGUCGAGGGGUAACGAGAGGAAAGCUUGCUUUCCUUGUCGACGACCGGCGCACGGGUGAGUAACGCGUAUCCAACCUGCCCCCAACUAGGGAAUAACCUUGCGAAAGUAAGACUAAUACCCUAUAAUUUCCUCAGAUGUCAUCUGACGAGGACUAAAGAUGUAUCGGUGGUGGAUGGUGAUGCGUCGGAUUAGCUAGUUGGCGGGGUAACGGCCCACCAAGGCAACGAUCAGUAGGGGUUCUGAGAGGGAGGCCCCCCAGAUUGGAACUAAGGCACGGUCCAAACUCCUGCGGGAGGCAGCAGUGAUGAAUAUUGUUCAAUGGGCGGAAGCCUGAACCAGCCAAGUAGCGUGCAGGAGGACGGCCCUAUGGGUUGUAAACUGCUUUUAUACAGGAAUAAAGUUAGCCACGUGUGGUUAUUUGUAGGUACUGUAUGAAUAAGGACCGGCUAAUUCCGUACCAGCCGCCGCAGUAA